UACGGAGGGUGCAAGCGUUAUCCGGAGUCACUGGGUUUAAAGGGUGCGUAGGCGGGUUGGUAAGUCAGUGGUGAAAUCUCCGUGCUUAACAUGGAAACUGCCAUUGAUACUACUGAUCUUGAAUUUUCUGGAGGUAAGCGGAAUAUGUCAUGUAGCGGUGAAAUGCUUAGAUAUGACAUAGAACACCAAUUGCGAAGGCAGCUUGCUACAGGGAUAUUGACACUGAGGCACGAAAGCGUGGGGAGCAAACAGG
rnacentral:rRNA from 1 species